UUUCCAUUAUAAUUCGUUAGUUUCAAGCACAUUCCCAACAUACAAACAAACUAACACUAGAAAAUCCGAUAAUGUCGGCUGAAGUGGAGGAACAACUGAAGCGUUUUCAGUCUUUUAAGAACGUCAUCGGGAUAGUUGUGGUGGACAAUGAUGGGAUACCCAUAAAGACUACCCUGGAAUACAACCUGACACUGCACUAUACGGCAUUGAUGCAAACCCUGAGGGAAAAAGCCCGCCAAGUGGUUCUGGAUCUGGAUGCCACCAAUGAAUUCACCUUCCUGCGGCUAAGGACACUCUUGCACGAGGUGUUGCUGUGCCCGCAGGAGGAUUACUUCCUUAUAGUACUCCAGAGUCCCACUGACUAGAAUUGAAUUAAUAUACGUAUCCUGUGGAUAUGUUUAAUCGAAGGCCCAAAAACCUCAUUUCAUUUGCAUUCAUUUAAAAGAAAAGUGUUCGCAGCCGGCAUUCCAUCAUUAAUAGCAUUCAGCUGCAAAUUAUUUGCAUUGGGAAUCGGAAUUGAAUUGGAAUGUCAUUUGCGUGCGGAACAGUCUUAUUCAAUAUGCAUCCUUUGGCCCGCAUGCAUAUAUGCAUCCUUUCCCCCAGCGAAGCCCAACCAUCUACCAUUUCCAUCCCGUCCAGGCAAACUCAUUUACAAUAAAUGAAGACUGACUGAGGCAGCCACG